rnacentral:lncRNA from 1 species
AAUAAUAUCAAACAGUAACUACCAUAAAUAACUAUCAUAAGGGGGACAAAAUCCAAUGUACAAAUCAUCUAUGGAUAGCCCUGUCAAGCCUCAACCAACCCCGGGAAAGGAGUACGAAAAAUUCUAGCAGCCCAUAUCCUACAAUCCUGAUACUAGACCUCUAGACUUUUCUAUCAAGGGCCAUGUCCGCGGAAAUCCGCAUUCUAGUCAUGUCAUGCC